AGCGAACGCUGGCGGCAGGCUUAACACAUGCAAGUCGAGCGGGCACUUUCGGGUGUCAGCGGCGGACGGGUGAGUAACGCGUGGGAACGUGCCCUCUGGUUCGGAAUAACUCAGGGAAGCUUGAGCUAAUACCGGAUACGCCCUUUUGGGGAAAGGCUUGCUGCCGGAGGAUCGGCCCGCGUCUGAUUAGCUAGUUGGUGAGGUAACGGCUCACCAAGGCGACGAUCAGUAGCUGGUCUGAGAGGAUGAUCAGCCACACUGGGACUGAGACACGGCCCAGACUCCUACGGGAGGCAGCAGUGGGGAAUAUUGGACAAUGGGCGCAAGCCUGAUCCAGCCAUGCCGCGUGAGUGAUCAAGGCCUUAGGGUUGUAAAGCUCUUUUAUCCGGGACGAUAAUGACGGUACCGGAGGAAUAAGCCCCGGCUAACUUCGUG
rnacentral:rRNA from 1 species